AGCCAGACUCCUACGGGAGGCAGCAGUGGGGGAUAUUGCACAAUGGGGGAAACCCUGAUGCAGCGACACCGCGUGGGUGAAGAAGCGCUUCGGCGUGUAAAGCCCUAUCAGUGGGGAAGAAAAAGGACGGUACCCAAAGAAGAAGCACCGGCUAAAUACGUGCCAGCAGCCGCGGUAAUACGUAGGGGGCAAGCGUUAUCCGGAUUUACUGGGUGUAAAGGGGGCGCAGACGGCAGGGCAAGCCAGGAGUGAAAGCCCGGGGCCCAACCCCGGGACUGCUCUUGGAACUGCGCGGCUGGAGUGCAGGAGGGGCAGGCGGAAUUCCUGGUGUAGCGGUGAAAUGCGUAGAUAUCAGGAGGAACACCGGUGGCGAAGGCGGCCUGCUGGACUGCGACUGACGUUGAGGCCCGAAAGCGUGGGGAGCAAACAGGAUUAGAUACCCCCGUACC
rnacentral:rRNA from 1 species